rnacentral:rRNA from 1 species
GUGGGGAAUCUUAGACAAUGGGGGAAACCCUGAUCUAGCCAUGCCGCGUGAGCGAUGAAGGCCUUAGGGUUGUAAAGCUCUUUCAGCUGGGAAGAUAAUGACGGUACCAGCAGAAGAAGCCCCGGCUAACUCCGUGCCAGCAGCCGCGGUAAUACGGAGGGGGCUAGCGUUGUUCGGAAUUACUGGGCGUAAAGCGCACGUAGGCGGAUCAGAAAGUCAGAGGUGAAAUCCCAGGGCUCAACCUUGGAACUGCCUUUGAAACUCCUGGGCUUGAGGUCGAGAGAGGUGAGUGGAAUUCCGAGUGUAGAGGUGAAAUUCGUAGAUAUUCGGAAGAACACCAGUGGCGAAGGCGACUCACUGGACCGUUGUUGACGCUGAGGUGCGAAAGCGUGGGGAGCAAACAGGAUUAGAAACCCUAGUAGUCC